UAGUUUGCUUGUAGCAAAUCUCAUCUAGUUGUGAUAAGUCUUCACUCAAAUAUUUAAUCUUUAAUUUUUACAAGUCCGACUACAUCAAACCCGUGUGUGUAAAAUAAUAACUCAAAAC
rfam:Populus trichocarpa scaffold_1_contig_63, whole genome shotgun sequence.